CUGCUGUGCAAUAGAAAUCUCUCGAUUUCUUUGUGUUGUGUGCUUCCAGCAUCUUCAACUUUUCACUUUCCUCUUCUUUCCUUCUCUUUCCGUUUCUCUCAUCCUAGAAUGGAAGAAAGAUGGAAAAGCAGGGCUCUUCCAUUUGCUUCCACGGAUUUCUCAAUCUCUCUCGAGCUCCGGAUCGCUAGCCUCCGUAUGAAGGAAAUCAUCAAUCCUGCAGAAUCCUUGGGUUUCUUGGGGAGUUCUCCAGCAUUUUUGUUUAGGGUUUGGUAUUUGAGUUCUCUUUUCUUUGUUCAAAUUUUUGUGAUUUUAAAACCUCAGUGGCUACAGAUUUCAUCAGUUUUUGGAUUCGAUCAGGAUCGGUUUUUUACCCACGAAAUCUAGCGUCGUCUGAUGGCUUUUUUCUAGGUUUGGUGAAUUUACAGGGGAGAGGGAGAGAGAGGCCUGUUGAGACCUGGACUGUCGAAUGGAGAGGAUGAAAAGCAACUGCAGGAAAGCGGCAAUGGAGACCCAGCAGCAGAAUAUUCAAGUCGAUCUGGGGAGCAAUUAGUGAAGGAAUGUAUAACGAACAGGACCGAGUUGAUUUAAGCUAUUGCAAAUAGUCUUUUCAACUCACAUUCAACCAAAGGCAUAGAUGGUCCCAUUGUGCAGAUGUUCGCUUACUGAACCUAAGCUGCCAAGAUAGAAAGCAUGUUUGAUCAUGUAUAUGAGCAUUUGGUAGUGAAACAUGUAUAGUGCUUCACAAUUGAAAAGAAGUGGAAUGGUAGUUUCAGGUGGACCGUAUUUGAUUGAGAAUAAGAUACCGUGCAAUAUCGAUUUUGGUAUGAAUGUUGGGGAUGAGUUUUAAUCGGUUGUAUAUAUCACCCAGUUUACCCGUUCCUACUGCUGCUCAACAGGGACGAGUUUCACAGCAGUUAAGGAUUGGUGCAUAGGAAAACAGCCAAAGAAUCCUGUUGUACAAUCAUUGGUGGUGCAAUUUUUCGGUCUUUUAUUAAAUUGUCCCUUCCUGCCAAAUUUUAAACGGGUUUUACUCAAAAGGAGGGUCUAGACUACAAUGAAACUUUCUCUCUAGUUUCCACAAAAGAUUCUUUUUGAGUGAUCAUGGCACUCACUGCACAUUGUAAUCUUGAACUACACCAGAUGGAUGUCAAAACAGCUUUUCUCAAUGGUAGUCUUGAUGAAGAAAUAUACAUGUAACAACCAAUUGGAUUCAUUGAAAGGGGGAAGGAAGAUAUGGUUUGUAACUUAACAAGUUAAUAUAUGGACUCAAACAGGCCUCUAGAUAAUGGUACAAAAUGUUUGAUCAAGUUGUAGCAGCUUUUGGCUUUGUGGAGAACAAAAUUGACAAUUGCAUCUACUUCAAAAUGGUGAAGUCUAAUUUUAUUUUUAUGGUUCUUUAUGUGGAUGACAUCUUACUUGCCAGUUCAAAUGUUCUUUUACUUGAAGAAAUCAAAAACAUGUUGUCAAGUAGCUUUGACAUGAAGGAUUUGGGUGCAGCACAUUGUGUUUUAGGCAUUGAGAUUACUAGGGACAGAUCCAAAGAGAUGGUUAGGCUUGUCACAUAAAGCUUAUGUUGAUAAGGUUCUCCAAAGGUUCAAUAUGGAGAACUGCAGUGGAGGAGAUAUACCACUUGGUAAGGGUGACAAAUUGUCCUUGUCUCAAUGCCCCAUUACUGACUAUUAAGUGCAGGCAAUGAAGGACAAGCCUUAUGCUUCUUUAAUUAGCAGUGUGAUGUAUGCUCAAGUCUGUACAAUGCCUGAUUUGGCUUUUGUGUUAAGUGUCUUAGGAAGGUUUCAAUUGAAUCUAGGAUUGGCUCACUGGAAUGCAGGUAAAAAGGUGUUGAGAUACAUGAAAAGAACUGAGUCAUAUGUGUUGUGUUGAGAUACUUGAAAAGAACUGAGUCAUGUGUUGUGUUGUGUUGUGUUAUCACCAUGUAGACAAUUUGGAAUUGGUAUGCUGCAUUGAUGUUGACUUAGGUGGAUGCAUUGAUGAUAGCAUGUCUACAAAUGGAUAUAUUUUUUUACUGUGUGAUGGUGUUGUCUCAUGGAGGAGCAAGAAACAAACUACAAGAGCAGUAUCUACUAUGGAGUCUGAAUAUAUUGGCUGUUUUGAGGCAAUUGAACAGUGUAACUGGGUGAAAAACUUAAUUUAUGAGAUGGAGAUUGUGAGAAGAAUUGAAAAGCCAAUCAAGCUUUACUGUGAUAAUACAACUGCAGUAUUCUUUGCUAAAAAAAACAAGAGAUCAGAGGCGUCAAGGCUUAUGGAUAUUAAAUACUUGAAAGUUCAAGAUAAAGUCAGAGAGGGUGUGAUUGAUAUACAACAUAUCAGUACACAUGACAUGGUUGCAAAUCCAUUGACAAAAGCCUUAAAUGUUACAGUCUACAACAAGCAUGUAUUAAUAAUGGGGUUUCAGUCAGCUUUGAUGUUCUUUAAAUGUGGGAGUAAUCUACACAAGUAUGUAUUUAAGUUGCAAAAGCUGUGAGUAAUGUUUAAUAUGAAUUCAUAUGUUGUGUUAAUGUUGAUUAAUGCAAAUUGCAAAUGUUUAAAGCAAUCAAGAUAUCUGCA